rnacentral:tRNA from 1 species
GUCGCGAUGGCGGAGUGGUUAAGGCGAUGGACUGCUUAUCCGUUUUGCUCUUCACGCGUGGGUUCGAAUCCCAUCCUCGUCG